GCUAACGGCCAUAUCAUGUUGAAUGCACCGAUUCUCGUCCGAUCACCGAAGCUAAACAACGUUGAGCCUAGUUAGUACUUAGAUGGGUGACCGCUGGGGAAACCUGGGUGCUGUAAGCA
rnacentral:rRNA from 1 species